AUAACGUGUGCGGGUCCCGCAGCCCGUCAGACGCUGCCCCCGACCCCGAACAGUUGGAUAGCGCAGGAUGAAGUUGCUGGUGACACUCGCUUUUGCAGCUUUCGUGCUGGUCACUGCUUCUGCCGGCAUCAUUCCUGGUGGAGGCUUCGGAUACGGGUGGCCAUACGGAUUUGGAUACGGUUUCCCGUAUGGCUUCGGAUACGGCUAUGGAACAGGCUUUGGCUACGGAACCGGCUUCGGCUAUGGUGGGCUGUGGCCAGGCUUCUGGUGACAGUGACCGAACGCGCUACAAGAUAACGACAAUCACCGUGCGCACUCGAAAACUGCAUUACUAAGCGGGCGUACGUAAGAACAUGUAAUAAAUAAAUGACGCUAAUACUAGCGUUUCACAA